GAGUGGCGGACGGGUGAGUAACGCGUAGGAAUCUACCCAAUCGUGGGGGAUAACGCAGCGAAAGCUGUGCUAAUACCGCAUACGAUCUACGGAUGAAAGCGGGGGACCUUCGGGCCUCGCGCGAUUGGAGCGGCCGAUGUUAGAUUAGGUAGUUGGUGGGGUAAAGGCUCACCAAGCCGACGAUCUAUAGCUGGUCUGAGAGGACGACCAGCCACACUGGAACUGAGACACGGUCCAGACUCC
rnacentral:rRNA from 1 species